CCAUCUCACUACACUAGUGGGUGUGGAUCUUUAGAGGUCUUCUCCUUUGGAGACUAAAGGAGAACUGAUAGGAGCAUAUUUAUGCGACUUAGUUAGCUAGUUCUUAUGCAUUUCCAUGGUGUUUUCUUAGUUAACGUAGUCUUUUAAGCUAGUUUUAUGUGUUUUCAGGUUUUAGAGACAAAGUAUGCAAGGAAGUGCAAAAUGGAGCAUAAUUGAGCUAAAAUGGCAUUUUUACUUAUGGAGCACAAGGAAUGGACGAGUUGAAGGUCAAAGGGAGCUUAAGAAAUGAAGAAAUGAAAGUGAAGAACAAAGAAUUCAGAAUUAGAACCCAAAGUUUCUAAAGUUGGAAGUUUCUAUUCUUGGAGGUUUCCAUUUGUGAGAGUUUCUAUUCUUGGCUUUGGGCUUCUAGAUGACCCAUCCUUACAUUCUUGGACAUUGCCGCACCAUAGGCCCAUCUCUAAACCCUAACCCUAGCCG
rnacentral:lncRNA from 1 species